GCUGGUGUAGCUCAGGGGCAGAGCAACGCACUCGUAAUGCGUAGGUCGGGGGUUCGAUUCCCUUCACCAGCACCA
rnacentral:tRNA from 1 species